GACCCCGGCGUCCUCCACCAUGGACACUGUCCCCUCGGAGGGCAACCACAAGCCAUCUACCACAGCAGCGAACUCCUCUGCCUCUGCGGCAGCUCCUGGCCCGCCCGCGGCAGCCUUGGCUCGUGAGUGUGUGGUGUGCUCUGAAGGCGAGGCCAUGGCUGCGUUGGUCCCCUGUGGCCACAACCUCUUCUGCAUGGAUUGUGCUGUCCGCAUCUGCGGGAAGAGUGAACCAGAGUGUCCCGCCUGCCGCACGCCGGCUACCCAAGCCAUUCAUAUCUUUUCCUAGUGUACCCCUACUUGACCGGGCGGCCAUGGCUCUCCAGGCAGGAGGCCCUCUGGCCUCCGGGUGGGAGAGGUGGUGAAGUGGGGCGUGGGCUGCAGGGCGGUGGGGAGGAGGGGGCCCACGCGUGUGUGUGUCGCAAACAGCUUUAACUCCUGCAGCAGACGUCGAGGCCAUCAGCUUGAGGCCCAGCGGCAGCGCCUCCGUUCUUGACAAGUGACAGUAUUGAGUGUGCCGGUGACAAUAAACCGGAAAAUUCUCUGUUUGCACUUUUUAUUAAGACGCCCCUCCCCAUUUCCGGGGUG
rnacentral:lncRNA from 1 species